rnacentral:rRNA from 1 species
GGUGAGUAACACGUGGAUAACCUACCUAUAAGACUGGGAUAACUUCGGGAAACCGGAGCUAAUACCGGAUAAUAUAUUGAACCGCAUGGUUCAAUAGUGAAAGACGGUUUUGCUGUCACUUAUAGAUGGAUCCGCGCCGCAUUAGCUAGUUGAUAAGGUAACGGCUUACCAAGGCAACGAUGCGUAGCCGACCUGAGAGGGUGAUCGGCCACACUGGAACUGAGACACGGUCCAG